rnacentral:rRNA from 1 species
AGAUUGCGACCGGCGCACGGGUGAGUAACACGUAUCCAACCUGCCGAUAACUCGGGGAUAGCCUUUCGAAAGAAAGAUUAAUACCCGAUGGUAUAAUCAGACCGCAUGGUUUGAUUAUUAAAGAAUUUCGGUUAUCGAUGGGGAUGCGUUCCAUUAGGCAGUUGGUGAGGUAACGGCUCACCAAACCUUCGAUGGAUAGGGGUUCUGAGAGGAAGGUCCCCCACAUUGGAACUGAGACACGGUCCAA